rnacentral:rRNA from 1 species
CAGUAGCCACGGUAAAACGUAGGGUGCAAGCGUUAAUCGGAAUUACUGGGCGUAAAGCGCACGCAGGCGGUUUGUUAAGUCAGAUGUGAAAUCCCCGAGCUUAACUUGGGAACUGCAUUUGAAACUGGCAAGCUAGAGUCUUGUAGAGGGGGGUAGAAUUCCAGGUGUAGCGGUGAAAUGCGUAGAGAUCUGGAGGAAUACCGGUGGCGAAGGCGGCCCCCUGGACAAAGACUGACGCUCAGGUGCGAAAGCGUGGGGAGCAAACAGGAUUAGAUACCCGGGUAGUCCCUGUCUCUUAUAC